UACUCGCCGCGGUUGGUCGCAAUUUUUGUUGAUAAGCGGACUCGGAAUUUCGGGCGCGUUUCGUAUUUGUUUUGUCGCGAAAUGAACCAAAAAGCCAAAUAGUGGCAAUAUCUGUGGGCAAACAAGUGAUAAAGCGGCAAAUGUGUCAUCUGGUGGGCGAGUAAGCUGCCGAGAAAUUGUGUGGUUUAGUCAAGGCCAUGGAGCAUUGACUCGGACCACUGAGAUCCCAAAUCCCCUGUCCCCGAUCCCCGCCAGGCCAUGUUGGAGCCAACGCUCACGCCCGAUCUGGAGGAGGGCAUCGCCGGGCUCAGUUUGGAGGAUGUGGAUGUGGACUCGGUGCCGGAGCGCAAGCCGCACUUCCUCGACUACGACGCAGUCCCCCCGCCAGACUAUGAAGAAGAAUUUGGGGCCAGUUCUGGGGAGCAGCUGAAGAUGGACAAGAAGUAUGAGCGGGAUGGCGAAGUGAGCGACUACGAACUGGCCGCAAGUGGCUAUACGAAGAAGGAGUUCACCCAGGACGACAACACGCUGCACUUCACCCAGAGCGCAGUAGGACUGGGAUCCGGAGCCGUUGGUAAAAAACCGACAGCCAAGCAUUUUCUGGACGAGAACCCCAUUCCGCCCGACUACAUGUUGGCCCAGGAGCUGCGUGAGAUGAGGGAACAUCGCAGCCUGGACAGAAACUUUGAGCGGCAGUCGGCGCAGCAGCAGCAGCUGGAUGAACUGCCACCGAGGAAUGGAGGCGGCUCCCCAGCCAGCGCAGGUCGUCCGUCCCGCAGCAAGGAACCAUCUUACACGCUCUCCCGCUUUCUGGACGGAGAUUCACCUGCACCUGCUCCAAGGCUGCCCAAAGGAGCUGCCUGGACGACCAGCUUCGAUGAGCGGUACACGUCCUCGGCAGUGGAAGCCACAUUGGGAUCCAAGGUGGAGUGUGUUUACUCAUUGCUCUCCAUGUUGGGCUCAAAUGAUCCCCUCGAAAUGGCGAAAAAGUUCUUGGAACUGUCCGGAAAUGCUCAAAGUUGUGCAACUCUAAGACGCUCUGGUUGCAUGCCGCUCCUGGUGCAGAUGAUGCAUGCACCGGACAACGACCAGGAGGUGAGGAAGUGUGCUGGACAGGCGCUGCACAAUGUGGUGCACAGCCAUCCGGACGAGAAGGCUGGCAGGAGGGAAGCCAAGGUUCUCCGACUCCUUGACCAGAUUGUCGACUACUGCUCCUUCCUGAAGACGCUGCUCCAGAGUGGCGGAGAGGCCAUUGCCGAUGACUCAGACCGCCAUCCGCUGGCCGCCAUCUCAUCGCUGAUGAAGGUCAGCUUCGACGAGGAGCACCGCCACGCCAUGUGCGAGCUGGGAGCGUUGCACGCGAUCCCAAACCUGGUGCAUUUGGAUCACGCCGUUCACGGACCCAAGCCGGAGGACCAGUGCUGCAACUCUCUGCGGAGAUACGCCUUGAUGGCCCUGACCAAUCUGACGUUUGGGGAUGAGAACAACAAGGCGUUGCUGUGUGGACAAAAGCAAUUCAUGGAGGCCCUGGUGGCCCAAUUAGACUCUGCUCCGGACGAUCUGCUCCAGGUGACGGCCAGCGUGCUGCGCAAUCUCUCCUGGCGAGCGGACAGCAACAUGAAGGCGGUGCUAAACGAGAUUGGAACGGUGACGGCCUUGGCCCUGGCGGCCAUGCGUAAUAGGAGUGAGAACACCCUGAAGGCCAUACUCUCGGCCCUGUGGAAUCUCUCGGCGCACUGCAGCACCAACAAGGCCGAGUUCUGUGCCGUGGAUGGAGCCUUGGCAUUCCUUGUUGGAAUGCUGAGUUACGAGGGUCCCAGCAAAACACUCAAGAUCAUUGAGAAUGCGGGAGGAAUCCUGCGGAACGUGUCCAGCCACAUUGCUGUAUGCGAACCGUAUCGACAGAUCCUGCGCCAGCACAACUGUCUGGCCAUUCUGCUGCAGCAACUGAAGUCUGAAAGCCUCACGGUGGUCAGUAAUUCCUGCGGAACUCUAUGGAACCUGUCAGCUCGCUCUGCCGAGGAUCAGAAGUUCCUGUGGGACAAUGGAGCGGUGCCCAUGCUGCGGUCGUUGAUCCACUCCAAACACGCCAUGAUCUCAGAGGGCAGCUCGUCGGCCUUGAAGAACCUAUUGAACUUCCGACCUGCUGUCCAAAAUCAUCACCAGCUGGAUCCCAUUGCCCGUUCCAUGGGCCUCAAAGCAUUGCCCACCUUGGAGGCACGAAAAGCCAAGGCACUGCAGCUGGAGCUGGGCGAGCGCCACACGGCCGAGACGUGCGACAACUUGGACACGGGCGGAAAAUUGGCCAAGGAACGAGCAUCCAGUUCAUCCAGACGUCAUCCUGCUGCGCCACGCCUAACCCGUUCGGCAAUGCUAACGAAGAGCGAGAGCAGGGAUUCGGUUUACUCGGCCAAAUCCGAUUGCGCUUACGAUCAUCUAAUUCGCUCCGCCUCUGCUUCAGAUGCCCAUCGAAAAGUGAAGCCCAAGAUCACGGACUUCGAUCUGGAAAUGGAGCAGGACACGGAGGCAACCGAAGAACAACCCAUUGACUACUCGGUAAAGUACAGCGAAAAUGCCACCAAGACCUCAACAUAUCAGGAAACGGACCUGGAUCAGCCCACGGACUUUAGCCUUCGCUAUGCGGAGAACCAAAUUGAAUCCGACCUGGACAUAUCAGGUCCAGCAGGCGCACAAAAGAGUACAGUCACUCCUCCUGCUGGAACAGUUCCCGUGAAAUCUGAAGGCCAGGAAAUACUGCUGAUUCUAGACGACAGUGUAAAGUGCUACCAGACGGAGGAUACCCCUUAUGUUAUAUCCAAUGCGGCUUCCGUCACAGAUUUACGAGUCACUGCUAAAGCGGAUGCAGAAGCGGAAGUCAAGCCAGAGGCACGCGAGGUGGCUUCCAAGGAAGGAGCACCCAAAAAGCUGCCCAAGCUAUCCCAAUGUGGCUCUGGAUCGUACACUCCAGAGAAACCCAUCAACUACUGCGAGGAGGGAACUCCUGGCUACUUUAGUCGCUACGAUUCCCUGAGCAGCUUGGAUGAAUCCGGUAAGGCUAACCAAGCAACCGUAGGAACUGAUGCGGAUAUCAAACCUAAAAUAGAGAAGCUGGAGGAACAGGAAUCCCAGCCAGCAGAGCAGGUCCUGGCCAAACCUCCCACCCAGGCCAACUCGGCAUUGGAAACCCCAUUAAUGUUCUCGCGACGCAGCUCCAUGGAUUCCUUAGUCCACGAUGCAGAUGUUGAUGUGGCCAACUGCGACGACAAGAGCUCGGUGGUGAGUGACUUCAGUCGCCUGGCCAGUGGGGUAAUAUCACCAUCCGAGAUCCCAGAUUCUCCCACACAAAGUAUGCCUGAAUCUCCACGGCGACAUAGUGUCGCUGGUUCGGGACAGAAUGUGGAUUCUCCACCGGUUGUAAUCCCGGCCAGCCUUCAACCACUUCGCAGCGUUUUCGAGGACGACCUGAGCAGCUUCAACGUGGAGCAUACACCGGCACAGUUCUCCACGGCUACCAGUUUGAGCAACCUGAGCAUAGUGGAUGAUGAAAAGGCCCCAGCCAGUGUGGCAGAGGAAGACAACGAAGAUGAGCUCCUUUUGGCCAACUGCAUCAACAUGGGUAUGCAGCGGAAGCCAGCUGAGGCUGUGAAACCCACAGUUGUGAACUCGGAAGUGGACGUGGCUGAGGAGACCAUUCGUAGCUACUGCACCGAGGAUACUCCAGCAUUGCUCUCCAAAGUGGCAAGCAACACCAAUCUUUCGGCCAUCUCCAUGAGCUCCAACGACCCCAAGGAUGCCACGACUGGUCAGGCACAGAUAUACGCACACCAGCUAUCCGACGAUGUAUCUUCGAACGCAUCGGACUGCGGUGGAGCAGCUGGUCACCUGCUACAGCAGUGCAUCCGCGAUGGCAUGAAGAAACCACUCGCUGAACCCACUCCAGAUCCCAUAGCUAUGCUUCGACGUGGCGGAAACCAAUUGGCUGGCUACCUGCCCUCCGCCGAUGAAGUUAACAAGUUUUUGGUGGAGGACAGUCCCUGCAACUUCUCGGUGGUCUCUGGUUUAUCCAAUCUCACCGUGGGAUCCAGUCUGGUUGGGCCAGCCGUUCAACUCAAGGAGACUGUACCAUCCAAUGUGGAUGAGAAUCAUCCUGGAAUUAAGGCGAAGCCCGGUAAACAGGAGCAGAUCCGAAGACCCCCGCAUUGGCAAGAUGAUUCGCUGAGUUCUCUAUCCAUUGACUCGGAGGAUGACACCAACUUACUGAGUCAGGCUAUUGCCGCUGGUUGCAAUAGACCGAAAUCGAAUCUUGGCUUCAGCUCGAACGGCAAGCGCUCCAGCUCGCUGAGCUCCUCGCAGCCAAUAGCCAUCAAUGCGGCCACCUCGGCCAGCUCCCUAAAUUCAACGAUGACAGUCCGCAAGAGCCAGCAACAAGAGUCGUACAGUUCUGUGGACUCUAGCGACUCUAACGACAACCAGUCCAAGUCGCUCUUCGAGCUGUGCAUCCUCAAGGGCAUGUACAAGUCGAAGGAACCCGGCGCCCGGGCCCAGCAAAUGCAGGAGCAACCUAUAGUGGGUUCCUCUUCCGCCCAGUCGAAUCCCAAUCUCAAGCAGUUCGAUUCGCUGCCGGUGCAGCUGCCAUCUAGUGGACAGGUCAAGCGGCAGCGUCAUCAUCAUCAUCACCAUCAUCAUAGGGAGCGGGAGCGAGAACGCAAGGACGAAAAGCUGCUGCAGGAAUGCAUCAAUACGGGCAUAUCGAAGAAGAUUAACGCCGUGCCAAAAAACGUCCUGGCUACGUCUGCGGCUGCAUUGGAACCGUGUCACCCAAUGGCAGCUACUACAUCAGCAAGUGCCCUCAGCACAGCAGCUCCAGACGUAGAGCAGAAAGCGCACGCCACCAGCAAACCGCUCCAGCAGUCGUCCACGCAUCCGAGCAGCCCCAUCCUCCCGAAUCCUAUCGACGCCAUCGCCACCGUCACCGACACAGCAAGAAGUCCAGCAGUUCCAGAUCAAGGGAGCGGGAACGCGAGUCAGAACGGUCUCGAGACCGCUACUGGGUCUAAGGACUUGGACUCGGAAGAUCGAUCCAGCGAUGAAUCCAAUCAGUCCUUCAUCAUGGAGACCAUGGUCAGGUUGGAUACUGCUCCCAAUGAAACGUGCACAUCGGGUGCAAGCGAGAAGCACAAGGAUCCCGACCUGAUGCUGAAGUCUGUGGAGAGACUGACCAUGGAGUUUGUUACCUCUGCGGAGCAGUUGCGCAGCAGCAGCCACAACCAUAGCAGCAGCAACAGCCACAAGAACCCCAGUAGUAACAACACCUGGAACGAGAGCACCUGUCCCAAUGAUGUGAGUUUUCCCAGCGUAAGUCAAACGGCUCCGGUUCUGGCCUCCUUAAGCUUGGAUGAAGACGCCACAGAGGCGAGAUCUCUGCAUGAGUUUAUAGAGAUUACACCCACGAAUGAACAGCAACCAGCGUCGCUUGAAGGUGAAACAGAUACCCUGGUUAAUGGACAUGCUGACAGCUACUCAGGGUCAUCAGGAGGUCUUAACUUCCAAUUGGGUGGUCAGGUGCAGAAUGCUGGCGUCAGAUUGGAACCGCAAAGACUAUUAUUUAAUGGAACGAGUGCCUCCAUUAUGACCAACUCGACAAUGAUUGCGUUCGAAGCGCGAGCUCUGGCGGAAAAUUUACUCCAGCCCGCUGCCACUGACGAUGACAACACGGAAAUGACCUUUAGCUUGAACAGUUUGGAUCUGGAUAACGUUCGUCCGCCGUCGGGAAUGGAAUCGCUCAACAGCUGCUACCAGGAUCACUCACAGCCGAGUUCCCUGCGCCAGCCGCUGCCCAGCAAGAGCCCCAGGUUUGCGCGGAAAAUGUUUCCAGCCAAUUUGGUAGCCAGACGAGCCCUGGGACACUUGGCUGGCAGUGCGGAGAGCGUGAACUCUAGCUGCAACCUGCUGGACAACAUCAAGCCCCCAUCGCUGAUGGAUGAACUGCUGGACUCCAUGAUCAGUGUGGACAGCAUUCAGUCGGAGGUGGCCGAUGGCGAGCAGGACUGCAGCAUGGCCACCACCAUUUCAGUGUCCAACUAUGAGACGGCUGCCUGUGAGGAUCAGACCAUGACCGUGCUCCAAAGUUGCUUCGACGAAGAUGAGGAUGCCACAAUGAAUGACUACAGCUCGGCCGAGUCCACACCCAAGCACGGAUCUACGCCAUCACCCAAUCGUCGUUCCCUCACCCCGAAAGACAAGCGACGUCUCACGAAGGAUCGCUACAAGACCUACACCAUAGCCACCAGCUGCGAGAUGGACGCACCAGAGCCCAAUGAAACCCUGCAGAUAGAAAUUGUGGAAACUGCCGUUCCUGUGGCCACGCCUUCACCGCGCGCAAAUGGUAGGAGAAGGGGCAGUGCCGAGCGGUACAAGACCCAACUGAUUGAGUGUCCGCUGGCUUUGAUACACCCCCAACCCGAUGACUGCCCAAGCGAAGAGCUCUCCUCCAUUCGAGCAAUGAUGCAACAGUUUACUUUCAUCACGGACAUCAACAUUGGACAGAGGCAGGAGACUUGCGAGAAUACUGAUCCUCCAGAAGACGCAGGGGAAUCCCCAGAGUGCGAUCAGAACUCAGAGACGGAGUCGUGCGAAGGUCAGGAACCGGCACAGCUGCCUCCUCCUCCGGAACUUAGGUCACCUGUCGUCAAACCCACAACUUUGGAGCCCGCCACGGCCGUAAAACUGGUGCGAGGUCGCAAGAAACCAGCCUACGUUUCACCCUACAGCAUGCAAAGUCAACGGAAUAGUAACAAUGCCGCCCCGUCCAAGAAGAAAACCCUGUCUCCAACAAUUGCCAAACGCAGCCUGGUGGCUAGUGGGUCAGGAGUUAGGCUACCAGCCAAAAAGAAGCCGACGCCGCCACCAGAGCCCGCUCCCGCUCGCCUGGAACGCCAGGGAACCUUUGUGAAGGACGAGCCAACGAACUCUAAUGUUCAAGUGCCCGUGGUGGAGACAAAGCCGGCUCAAACCAGUCCCACUCACCGCGCCUCAAAGCUGCCCACAAAGAAAGGCACGGCCAGCGGUGGCUCACCAUCCAAAGCUGGAUCUCCCAAGAGGAUUCCCUUGGCGCCGGCCCGCCGAAUGACGCCUCAAAGGGCAAACACCAGUCUGCGAUUAGCCGCAGGCAAAUCCCCCGCUGCCUCGCGAGUGGUUUCCGCGCGGGUGUCGUCCACCACUCCACCAUCCCGCAGCAAUUCCAACCUGAAUGGAAACAGUGCAGCCGCAGCAGCUGCGGCCAAGAUCAACCAAGCCCAAAGCCGAAUCGCCAACAUCUGGAAGAAAGUGGACGAGGCCAAAACCAAGCAAUCGUCAUCCAACCUGAGGACGCAGAAAACCAAAUCUUCCAACAUGCUCAACGGAAAUGGAACGAAGCCGACUCUCCUGCGCAGCUCUACGUUUGACAAUACCCCCAGCACCGCUGGAGGAGUCAAGUCCAAGCUGCCAGUUGUGGGCGCGCGGAAAUAGAGGGUUAUUUUUGUCAGGAUAGCAUCGAUCACAAAUUAGCCAAGUUAAAACGGAAACGGAAGAAUGAGGAG
rnacentral:misc_RNA from 1 species